AUGUGGUCAUCAGGACACAUCAACGUCGAUGGGAUUGUCCCUCCCUCUUCUUUCUUCUUGAUCGGAAUCCUUUUUCGCCCAAAAUCCUUUUCCCCCCAAAAUCCAAUUUCUUUCCCAAGCUCGGUGGCUCUUCUUAGUCGAUCAAGCUUCAGGUUAAGUGCAGUCGCCGUCGAUUGCUGUAGCCAGUCUUCCACCUCUGUCAGCGUCAUUCGGAGCUUUGUUCGGCGCCUCCUCCAUCCGGCAUCCUCUUCCCUUCUAAGCUUAUCCAGUCUCUGUUGCAUCAAAAUUGGAAGCAUUUUUCAGAGGAAGUCAGAAGAGAGCAUCGUGGACUGCUAUCACCUGUAGAGUCCAAUGGUUAUCUUAAUUUAAUAUUGGUUUUAUUCCCAUGAUUAAUAUGCUUCAAUCAGAAGGGGACAUCGUGGACUUGCUUGGAGUUAUGGUGCUCAAGCAAGCUUUUUGAGAAGAUUAAAAGGAAGGAGCAAGAAAUAGGAAAGGGCAAGGGAAGAUUAAUGAUUACUAACAAUGAGAUUCUGAUGUGGAAAGCUUUUGAGAAUUGAAGGGGAUGAAGACUAUAGUUUGUUGCUGAUAAAUUCAGUGUUGAUGACUUGCUACUUCGUUGUCUAGUUGUUUAGUAUAUGUAUGUUGCUGUGCAGAAAUGUUUAUGCACCUUGAGAUGGUUUUAACGUUUCAUUGGAACUGGGUUUAACCAGAGAUGGUUUAACAUAUGUAACUUGAGUGGCAGGUUGGGCUAGGAAAAGAGGGACUUGGUCAGGAGCGGAUCUUUUUCAGCCCACACUAUCUAACCCAAGCUCAUUUCAAGCUAAUCCUCAUAACCUGCAGAUUAGCUUGCUUUUAAUAUUAUUUUUAAUUCCAACAUCAUGAA